CUCGCAAGAGCAAAGCAGGGGACCUUCGGGCCUUGCGCUACCGGGAUAUGCCCUAGGUGGGAUUAGCUAGUUGGUGAGGUAAGGGCUCACCAAGGCGACGAUCCCUAGCUGGUCUGAGAGGAUGAUCAGCCACACUGGAACUGAGACACGGUCCAGACUCCUACGGGAGGCAGCAGUGGGGAAUAUUGCACAAUGGGCGCAAGCCUGAUGCAGCCAUGCCGCGUGUAUGAAGAAGGCCU
rnacentral:rRNA from 1 species